rnacentral:tRNA from 4 species
GUUGUCGUAGCUUAACACAAAGCAUAACACUGAAGAUGUUAAGAUGGGCCCUAGAAAUGCCUCGAGAACA